rnacentral:rRNA from 1 species
ACGAACGCUGGCGGCGUGCUUAACACAUGCAAGUCGAACGGUGAAGCGCUUGCCUUUUUGGUGGGUGUGGAUGAGUGGCGAACGGGUGAGUAACACGUGAGUAACCUGCCCUCUUCUUCUGGAUAACCUCAUGAAAGUGGGGCUAAUACGGGGUAUUCCGGGUCUGUCGCAUGGCGGGUUUGGGAAAGAUUGCGCCUUUGGGUGUUUUCGGUGGGGGAUGGGCUCGCGGCCUAUCAGCUUGUUGGUGGGGUGAUGGCCUACCAAGGCGGUGACGGGUAGCCGGCCUGAGAGGGUGGACGGCCACACUGGGACUGAGACACGGCCCAGACUCCUGAGGGAGGCAGCAGUGGGGAAUAUUGAACAAUGGGCGCAAGCCUGAGGCAGCGACGCCGCGUGAGGGAUGGAGGCCUUCGGGUUGUGAACCUCUUUCGCCAGUGAAGCAGGCCUGCUCCUGUGUGGGUGGGUUGACGGUAGCUGGAUAAGAAGCGCCGGCUAACUACGUG